CAGGAUCACCAGGUAGCAUCCCUAAUUGACAUAACCCGCCCGCUGGUACGACCCAAUACGGGACAGGCAAGUCUUUCAAGGUGAUGCGCCACUCUUUUGACAAACCCUCCUGAUCCCAAUGGCAAAGCCGAUUCAGGCAAGACAGUAGGUCAUGUUAACUUUGACAAACCCUCCUGAUGGCAAAGCCAAAUCAGGCAAGACAGUAGGCAUUGUUAACUUUGACAAACCCUCCUGAUGGCAAGGCCAAUUCAGGCAAGACAGUAUGCAUUGUUAACUUUGACAAACCCUCCCUAUGGCAAAGCCGUUUCAGGCAAGACAGUAAGCAUUGUUAACUUUGACAAACCCUCCUGAUGGCAAAGCCGUUUCAGGCAAGACAGUAAGCAUUGUUAACUUUGACAAACCCUCCCGAUGGCAGGGCCAAAUCAGGCAAGACAGUAAGCAUUGUUAACUUUGACAAACCCUCCCGAUGGCAAGGCCAAACCAGGAAAGACAGCAGUCAUGUUAAGAGAGGCACAAACGCUAAAUGAGGGCAAAACAAGGAUCCCAUGAGACCCCAUGCCCACAUCGUUUUCCAUAUCCAGGAUACCAAGCAACGCUCAAUGGGCCACAACAUCAACGCAAGCAUAAUGUUGUGGAUCAAAGAGACCGCUUUGUGGUUCAUCCGAUGCCACAAAAAUGGCACGAGACGAAAUCAACUGUAAUCAACCAAGACAAUACCAAUGCUUAGGUACGCAACACAGAAACCCACAAUUUGCCAGGCAAUAGAUCCCAAACCAAACAACUGAAGAGGUAUGCCGGGUGGA
rnacentral:misc_RNA from 1 species